rnacentral:rRNA from 1 species
UACAGAGGUGGCAAGCGUUGUUCGGAAUUACUGGGCGUAAAGGGCGCGUAGGCGGCCUUGUAAGUCCUGUGUGAAAUCCCCCGGCUCAACUGGGGAACUGCACAGGAGACUGCUUGGCUUGAGUUCGGGAGAGGGAAGCGGAAUUCCGGGUGUAGCGGCGAAAUGCGUAGAUAUCCGGAGGAACACCGGUGGCGAAGGCGGCUUCCUGGACCGACACUGACGCUGAGGAGCGAAAGCGUGGGGAGCGAACAGG